AGCGAACGCUGGCGGCAGGCUUAACACAUGCAAGUCGAGCGGGCAUCCUUGUGGUGUCAGCGGCAGACGGGUGAGUAACGCGUGGGAACGUGCCCUUCGGUUCGGAAUAACUCAGGGAAACUUGAGCUAAUACCGGAUACGUGCGAGAGCAGAAAGGUUUAUCUGCCGAAGGAUCGGCCCGCGUCUGAUUAGCUAGUUGGUGAGGUUAUGGCUCACCAAGGCGACGAUCAGUAGCUGGUCUGAGAGGAUGAUCAGCCACACUGGGACUGAGACACGGCCCAGACUCCUACGGGAGGCAGCAGUGGGGAAUAUUGGACAAUGGGGGCAACCCUGAUCCAGCUAUGCCGCGUGAGUGAUGACGGCCUUAGGGUUGUAAAGCUUUUUUCUUCGGGACGAUAAUGACGGUACCGGAGGAAUAAGCCCCGGCUAACUUCGUG
rnacentral:rRNA from 1 species